rnacentral:misc_RNA from 1 species
GUUAUAUAGAAGUCAAACUCUUAUAUGUAGUGUGUUUUCAAUAUGUAGCAUGUUUCCCAAUUAGAUUAGGACAAUUUGUAUAUAAAUAGUAUACUUUUUCAUUAUUGAAAUACAAAAAAAAUUUCCUUCACAUGGUAUCAAAACACCAUUGGAAAAUGUAAGAAAAAACUUUGGCCCACUUUUGUAAAACAGAGACCCUGAAAUAGAAAGUCUUUUUUUCUUAGAAACCCUUGCAGCCCAUCUAGGUCACCCUCACAAGGUAACAUUCUGACAUCACUGACCACCCAGGAAGGAACCUUGAACGUCAAUGACCCUACCUAGAAAAUCCGGUAAAUAGAAUACCGACAAGUGAGCCACAAGCUCCGAAUCAAAUUUUGUUGACGAUCCACUCGUCAAUGCAUGGAAGCGGGACAACCGUCUCCCACUAUUCCAUUUGCCCUCACCGACGUCACCCCGAGGAGUACUAUCCAACCCCAUGAGCUGUUUGGAGGUUGGGUGCUUUUGUGGAGGAGGUUUGCUCUAGUAACCCAUUUAUCCUUCAAUAUUGGGUUUGGUUUUGUUUUUCUGGAUUCAGUGAAGAUUUUUUAUUCAUGUGAGGUGUAUACUACACACUCUUGCUUUGGGUGAAAUAUAUAUAUAUAUUUUGAGAUUUGCAAUUGCUGCUAUGAG